GCACCCUCAUUCAUAUCCGUAAUGGCCGCUGUCUAGCGUUGUUCGCUGAGUGCGUUCUCUUCGCGCGCGCGACGGAGAGAGCGCGAGAAAACGGGAAGGAGAGGGAGAAAAAUAGAGUGAGAAAGAGAGAGGGAGAGCGUGAAAAGAAACUCCGGACGUGCCGUCGUGAAAAUUCAGUGCGCGCCGAUCAACGUCGCGUGGUGUGAAAGUGUUUGGUUGUCUUUAAAAACAUUCGUUAUUCUCUCGUGCAACGAAAGAACGCACCACUACGGGGAUAUUCUACCACCGUUGCAGUAGUAGCAGUUAGUAUACACGAAGCACACUCCGGGAUUCUCCUUCUUUUCCGAGAUAGGACCUAGUGCUUUGGAUGUGUAUGUUUGGAUGCGUGAGAGAGUGAGUAAGUGCGCGCGAGCGCAAAUGUGCCUAUGCGUUUGCCACUACUGGUGGUAGUGAGUGUGUUUUUCUCGUUUGUACGAUUACACGAGGAAGACGACGACAACGACGACGACGACGACGACGACGACGACGACGACGACGACGACGACGACGACGACGACGACGAAGACAACAGCAACAACAGCAACAACAACAACAACAACAACAACAACAACACAACAACAACAACGACGACGACGACGACGACGACGACUAAGAAGACGCGUGGACAUUUAUCGCGUGGGCGAGCGUCCUUCGUGAUUUUCUUCAGGAGAAGGAAGAAAAUAGCAGAUAGGUGAAAUUGAGGCGGCGCUUGUUCAUCGCUUUAAUCCUGACUUAUCUCCUCGAGACGAAGAAGAGAGAGAGAGAGAGAGAGAGAGAGAGGGCAGAGACUGUGCUAGACAGAAAAAUAAAAUAGACAGAAGAAGGGUGUCGCGGUGUCGUCUCGAGUUAACUUAGCGUCGUAAACAGAAAUGUGACAGCCCAACUUGGAUGAGGAAAAAGAGAGAAAAGGAUAGAAAGAAAAACGACGUGUUGGUGGAUAUCGUCGAGACGAAGGAAACCCAUCGACGACAUUUGGUGCUCACUCUGCCCCGCUACGAAUUCUCCACCGUGGUUCAAGGUCUUCUAAAAUCAUCCAAGUACGUGCAGUCGUCUGCCUGCCAAGGCUCCACAAGAAGACAACGAAGAUUUCUUCUUGCAAGAAAAACGAUUCGCUUUUCUUCUUAAUUCCGCUGCGAUCUGGUGAACGACGACGACGACGACGACGACGACGACGACGACGACGUUGACGGUGAUGUUGACGUCGAGAAAAGAAACGUCGAGCGAGCGUGCCUUGGAACGUGAAGAGAAAAAAUAACAGGAACAGGUACGAAAGGAACAAGAGAAUUUUCAAAGUUCAUUCAAGAGAAGAGAACGUGUGCCAAUCGAUGAGACAACAGAGUCUUCCUUUCUGAUCGUUUCGAAUGAUCGUUCUUAAACGAUCGAUUGUGAUUUAAAGUCGUGAUUCUACUGCCAAAAGAGGAGACUUUCGAAGUUGAGAGAGAGAGAGAGAGAGAGAGAGAGAGGGAGAGAGAGAGAGAGAGAGAGAGAGAGAGAGAGAGAGAGAGAGAGAUGCCAAGCUAUUAGAUUAGUUUAGAGAACUCGCAUAACUUGGAAGUCUUCCCGAAGAAGCGUCGUUGCUGAUUCGAAUUUAAGAAGAAUUAAUCUCUUUUAAUUCGUCAUUAACAUUGACAUCGAGGAGUAUCGUUUAUAUGGCAAUGCGGUACCAUCAUCGUCGAAGUUUAUCGCGCAGUUAUUCUUCGUGCUACACAGAGUGGAAGUUGGAGGAAUAACAGCGAGGAUGUUCGGGAAGGUGCCAUCCACCAGUAUCAAUUCGAACGCAGGCCCUGGACCACCCCAUCAAAAUUCUGCGAAUAAAGUCCCUUACGUCAGGCCAACGACUGGGACGACGUGCCUUUCGUGUUACGAAGUACCAACUGUUCAAUCUAGUACUUCCGAUGAGAAGGCAAAGUCUUGGUGUCCGGUGUUAUCCGAGUCAUUGCCGUGUAAUUCUUCGCAAGAUCGUUCCUUACCCCUAUCCACUUCGUCCUCCGUUACGGAGAUAAACGGAGCCACGAGAAACGAGCAACAAGCUACGUUCUCGACGAACAGGAACCUGCAAUCCAGCAAUAAAUCCUCUUCUUCCAUCAAGGACUCUACAAGGAUCCACAGAUGUUCUUCCAAUCCCAAUUGCCCUGGUCUGUCGAGUACAACUACGAAAACUUCUAUUGGUUGUCUCUCGCCGAGACAAUCCCAAAGGAUUGCUAUCAGCUCUUCGAAUCACGAGUCAAAACUGACGAGAAAACACUCUGUCGGUAGUCGAGAAUUUGCAACUGGCAGAGAGUUGUCUUCGUGCAAGUCUAACUUCAGAGACUUUGCUCAAUCGAAAAACAACGAUGCUACCUCUGAAAGCGUCGACGAAGUUCCGAGCGUCGUCGAGGGGUUCGUCGAUCCUUCGACGAUCCUGACGAGCGCUACCUCGACCGUUCAUCAAACACGAGUCACACAAAAAUCCGCGUCUAGGUCGAACUCGACGGGCGACAAUCCCUGUUGCUUUGAAAGAACGACGGAAAGAGGCGAGCUCAAGGAUCAUUAUCAUCAUCAUCAACAUCAUCAUCAUCACCAUCAUCAUCAUCGCAACAAUCUUGCCCGAACACCAGCCGAACUUUUGCAACAAAAUUGCAUCGACUUCGUCAUUCAGGAUUUACCGACCGAAUUGCAAUCCUCGCCGAGAAGUUACAAGGAUCGUGAAAAAACUCGUGACACUUGGAGACCAACCGAGAUGGAGGGAAAUUUGUGUGGACUGAACUCCUGCUCCGGUGACUCCUUCCAAGAUGGUACCUCCACCAAGAGGAGAACCGGUGCAUCCUGUCAAGCCCUAAGGCACGCCGUUGCCUCCUUGAAUCGUCUCGAUGACUUUUACAUGGAGAAAAUUGGCGCUGGUUUCUUUUCCGAGGUCUACAAGGUUACACACAAGGUAACUGGUCAGGUGAUGGUCCUAAAAAUGAACCAACUGCCUGCGAAUAGGCCGAACAUGUUGAAGGAGGUUCAACUUAUGAACAAACUCAGCCACCCAAACAUACUCAGGUUUAUGGGAGUCUGCGUUCACGAGGGUCAACUACAUGCCUUGACGGAAUACAUAAACGGUGGUAGCCUGGAGCAAUUGAUAAUGUCACGGCAUACACCGUUGCCCCACCUGAUACGCAUGAAUCUUGCAAGAGACGUCGCACGUGGAAUGGCCUAUUUGCACAGCCGCGGCCUCUUUCAUCGCGAUCUAACUUCAAAGAACGUCCUCAUUAAGAAGGACGAGAAUACGACGGAGAUGACUGCUGUGGUCGGUGAUUUUGGAUUAGCAGCUAAGAUACCAGAUCCUAGUUCGGGUUAUAGACUGAGCACAGUAGGCAGUCCUUAUUGGAUGUCACCGGAAUGUUUGAAGGGUCAAUGGUACGAUCACAGAUCAGACGUUUUCUCAUUUGGUAUCGUCGUUUGCGAGUUGAUCGGUCGCGUUCCUGCUGAUCCAGACGUUCUACCACGCUCAGAUAACUUUGGCCUCGAUUAUCUGGCCGUGGCGGAGAUCUGUGCGGCUGCCGACCCACCACCUGCCUUCUUGCAGCUAGCCUUCGAUUGCUGUACCUACGAGCCUAAAUCGAGGCCAACUUUCCCAGAGAUCAUGUCCAGUCUUGACAACAUGAUCGGCAAUUACGAGGAGGAAUCUAAAAGCAAUAUAAGUAAUAGGCAAUCGGCCGAUCCAGCUCUAAUGUCGAGCAUGGAUGAAAUCGUUCGAGAAGGUCGUACGAUGCGACGUAGGACAGCUCGACUUAGAAGUCAAUCCGCUGAUGCCAGAGGUUGCGAUAACGCGACGCCAUCGGACAAAGCUAGAUGUCAUUCAUCGAGAAGAGUAGCUGAACUGGCUAGCCGAAGAGAUCCACAUUAUAGACCUAUGACAGCAAAUCCAUUUCACGCGUUGGGCGGCGUUAAGAAGAUCUUGGGGGACCUUUUUUCCAGUUGUUUGGAGUUACCAUCGCUCGAAGAUGUUAGGCCGAGCGUUACCGACGGCGUUAGCAAAUUCAAACCGGCGCAGAAUGAUAGUAUCGCCAAAAUCCUGGAUAGGAAAAAGCCUAAUUCGGAACCUAGCAGUCCUACGGCGAGAAAGAAAUGGGAAAGGAAGGUGGCUACGAAAGUCGGCGCGGCUAGUCUUUUCGCUCAUCCUCUCUUCCGAGAUGGCUGGGAACCAAGAAGACGAGGUACUUCACAAUCACCUGGGUAGAGCGGUAGAUGACUGGCUCUUCCAGACUCAAGGAUUAAACCUUUUUUACAUAUCGAUAAUGUUUUACCGAAGCUAUCGACCAACGCUACUUUGUCUAUACUCCAAGUAACCAGGCCUGACGAUAACCAUCCACUGUACGCCGUAUAUUUGAUCUGUCGAAAGUUCGUAUAUGAAAACUUGGUAAUAAUACUAAUUACGUUAGAAUAUGAUUAUAUUGAAAAGAUUACGGCUAUACCUCGAUGGAUUCUAUGUUGGUUACCGCCGGAUGGGGAACAACUAUCUUUUGAAGCGUAACUCCCACUAGAAGUUCUUCAUCUUUUCGUGUCAUGGCAAAGCUCUCAUUGAAGGAUCCCUCGCCGAUCAGCGUUAUCUGAAUGGGUUAAUUAAUUUCUCAUUAAUCACAGAUAAAGCUGACCUCUGGCUGGCAAUUUGUCGCUGUAAUAACCCAUGUCACCGCAAGGCCUGUCUUCGCCAUUAAAGUUGCAAGGAAAACAAUCACCCUUUAGAAGACCAUCGUAGCCACGAGGACAGGGGAACGCAGGAAAACGGCAUUUUGGACUGACGGAAUCGGUGAAGAGCUUGUAAGCACGGCGAUGAUUGCAGAGAGAUCUACCUUCAACCGGGGCAGCUGAUCAAAAAAUAUUAAUUUCAUCGUAAGAGAUCGAUCGAAUUAGAAGCGCUUUUUGUUCAACAACAAAUGGAGUGGAAUCGUACGACCACCCGUCAUUUAUCGAAUAAAUUAAACGACGAAUAAGUGUCGUAUCGUUUACCUCGACCCGUAUAACUAUACGACCCACUUUCUUCAUAGAAGAAAUAUCCAAGCUGUUUUUCCUUCGUGUAGGAGGUAAUGAGAUACUCUCGAUUCGAAAUAGAAGAGAAGCGAAAAGAAAAGAAAGACGAUGGACAGUUGUGCUUUCUAAUCGCCGAUCUACACUGCACAAUGUACGCGUGGGCGUACUCGAUCGACUAUCAAUUUUGAAAAUAUGAACGAGUAAUUUUUUGCGAUUUUUCAUCGCAUCCUUUUUCUCUCUCUUUUUUUUUCUACUUAUCUCGGUGUAUGUAUUUGCAUGAAGAAAAAAACAUUACGUACACCAGAUGAUAUCGGAUACAGCUCCGACGAAAAUAUUUGAGCAGCCGGUUUGCAUUCUUCCACCAUUGGGAUAAAAAUCAACGUCACCCAUUGGUUGCCAAGAACCAAGUCCUCCGAGUAUUAAUUGUUCACCAUUGCUGUGUAUCACGUCGACAAAAUUAGCAUCUGUCUCGUCCAAUCGGGCUCUGGGAUCUUGAGAUUCGAAGAGUGGCCCAGCUGGAUCCAAUCCUGAUAAAUACGUAAAUCAAAUUACUCCCUGUUGUAACGGUAACGUAUAUAUAUUUUCAAUCUAAUAGUAAAUUUACGAUUUAACGAACGAUCACAACCUUGUUACAGUUCUUUCAUCGGGUUAUAAAUUGAUCAAUUAACGGCCACGUUCACUUGGACUUGCGUAAAGUAUGACUUUUAAACUUUGAAUAUUAUUAUAGAUUAACUUAACAUAUAUCUUCCAGUGGAUUGAUUAAUUAGUUUUUCCUUUUUUUUUUUUUUUCUUUUUUUUUCUUUUCUCUUUUUUUCUUCACUGGUAUUUAUUAAUCGUUCGAAAGAGCAGUUUGAAAUACUUGGAUGGAAAAUUUUCGCUACCUCUACAAUUAUUGUCAUCGAUCUUUCACGGGUAAUUCUGCCUCGACUCUACCAGCGAAGGUGUCAUUUCUUGUACAAGAUCACAGAAGUGAACGUAUUUAUCCGAUCGUGAACUACAUAUCUGCCGCAUUUCGUAACAAUGUUAAUUAAUGUAAUUCGUGAGAAAGGUAAAAUGAAUGCCGAUCAAUUCGCGAUCAAUUCGAGUGAGCUUUCGAAAGAAAUGAAAAUGGCAUCGAGUUGAUUGGUCUGCGUUAAGGAGAAGAAGAAAAGAAGAAGAAGAAGAAGAAAACGAUCGAUUUUACCUACCGGUGAUUCUAGAAACGUUUCCAAGUUCUGCUCCAGCGAAACCAGCUACGUGUGCACCAAGGCUAAAGCCGAUCAAAUGUACCUUCUCUUGGGGAACUUCCAAGUUACGUAUCAAUUUGGCCAAUUGCCGUCCUACCAGUCGAGUAUUAGCUGCUGCUCUAACGUAAUUUGGCACGGCACUUCCUGGGCCCCAAUCUACGCACACUGGACGUGAACGAAAGCAAAAUCCAUUAUUUCAUCUUUUCUCUUUCUUCGAAAUAAUGUUGAAACGAUCUAGUAAAGUAAUUGAAGCUACGUGCGUCUACGAAGUAAUUCGUCAUCGGACAAAACUAACUCGUAGAACAACAAUUUAACGUUUAACUAUCGUUUUAAUUGAUUUCCAAUCGAUGCACAUACCGAUGUUACACUCGUGAACGGUCAUUAGCGCCGAUCUCAUCUCGUAAACCCACACGUGAUCGCAACUAGAUCCAAAGCCGUGUACGAUAACUUUGGUCGGUAGAUCGGGAUCUAUGGCACGGUGAGCGUUAUCGUUUAUAUCUUCGGCAGGUACUUCCAUAGGUAUCGAUCUUGCCUUUCUGCUACCGUAAACCAGGAAUCUGCGCGUAUUUACGUAAUUAAUAAACAUACAAUACGUAAUGCAUACAAAACGUUUAAAUAGCAUGAAUGGUACGAUAGUACGAAUUAAGAUGCGAUAUUGAACGCCGUUCGUUGGUGCUUCCCUCGAUGCAUCGAAGUGAACAGUAAUCGAGUACUUUCCAACUACGAUGCGGGAAACUUGCGCGUACUUACGCAUACAAAACUACUCCUUUUCUAAUAAUUUUGCAUGUUAUAUAAAAUAAUAGACUAGGUGAUUAUCCAACAGAAACAUACGAUUGGUAUACGUAAUAGUUGAACCUCCUCGUUACUUUAUAUGUCAUACGUACUUGAUCUUGAAAUUUGAUUGGUAUCGACGAGAGAUCGUUUCCGAUUAGACGAUAUAAAAAAGAAUCGAAAUCUAGUUUCUCUCACCUGGUACCAACGUCCCUUGGUGGUGAAGGUAACAUCUCGAGAUAGCUAAAGGGUCCGGUAUCUUCGAAACAGCCAAUGUCCUCGUAACAAACCUUUGACACUUCCCGUUUGCUUCUAUGACGUUCGCGUUUGUGAAGCGACCAUUCCCUCAUCGAUUCGACGACUGCUCGAAAAAUUUCUGCAUCGUUUCUCUCGUCGAGUGACUCGUCGAGGCUCGUCGGCCAUGCCUCGGCCAGCGUGCGAUCUCCUAAAAAAUAUUUUCAUCUCCUUUACAACAGUUAAAUCUCUUUCUUUUUACGCGCGUUGUCCAUUAUUUUAUUCGAUUCUUAUAUAAAAUAAGAAAUGGUAGUAAUUUUAACGGUGUCCUCGCUUCGCUGCACGGACAGCAAUUAUUUUGAUUAGCAUAACGCUCCUAAAUACUCAGCCCGGAACAAGAUCGUCCUGAAAGGAGAUAUAAGUUUCUUUCACGAUCUAUAGAUUCCACCUCCGACAUUUCCACCUCGUUUUGCUCUGAAAAGCAAUCUUUGAUUGUCUCGGCUUCGCGGAAUCGUCGACGGAUCGUAACUGGGUUCAAUCUUUGCAUCUUCGGCCGAAUUUUUUUCGUCGCGAAACUCAAUUGCGAAUUGAAUGAUUGUCGCAGUUUAUAUAUAUAAACAUACACAUACGUAUGCACACUUGCGUGUAUAUUUGGAAAGAGAUAAUCUAGAGAGGAAGAACUUUCUAAAUCUAAAAACUCAGAAAACCACGAGAUUCUUUUGAAUGGAACAAAAGAUAAGACAUGGGAAGGAAGAGAGAAAGAAAGGAAAAAUCUUAUCGCAGACGAAAUUUAGCAACUCAGGGAGAUGCAACGUUCGGAUGAUUCUUCCGAGUACAUGGAUACGUCUAUCUUUAUGAACUUACGACCCAGAUUUAUUUGCGCUCGUUAGGAGAAAAAAAACUCGCACGACUUUAUAGGGGGUAUAUAUCCUUGGAUGAAUCACGCCGACGAAUAAUCAAAGCAAACGCGCUUAAGAAUCAAAAAUUAAGUAAUUGACAUUUCCUAAAUUUCCAAUUGUUCCCUAUUUCAAAUAAAUAACAUAAUUUGCACCGAAGGAUUCUAUCGAAUAAAGCGAGCCGCAUCUAACGUUACACUCGUUAGAUCUUCUAAGUGUCUGAUCAUAUAAGCGUAUCAACGGAACGACGAAUACAACUUCAUCCGUCAAUUUCAUUUUCAACUAGAAGAUUGCAGAUGAUAUAUGUACACUGUACGGUCGAGUGUACAUACACGGUACUUCUAUCGUUUCUCACUCGAUGAUAAUCUCGACCUUAAUUUCUCUCGUAGACAAACUUGCGAAAUCACUCCAGAACGUUGGUUCUCCUUCGUUAACCAUAAUUGAUGAUCAUCCGUGCAUACGCACGUAUGUCUCUAUGUCAAUAUGUAUAUACGCGAAUGGUCAUCGAAAUUACGUAACGCCUAGUUUCACGCAUAAUUCGUGAAUCUCAUAAAAAUUAAUUUUUUAUUAAUUUUUUGAUUUUUCGGGUCGAGAAUAAUCGGUGGAACGUCAAUACAUCAUUUAUCUCAAAUAGGCCAUAUCAUAGAUAUUUCUAUUUUUCUUAGCUGUCCAGAAGGAGACGUAUUAUAAAAACGAGGUCUUCUUCGUCCGCUCAUUAUCAUUCGAUCGUUUCUUUACCUCGUAAUCUUUGAAACGGUAAUGGUCAUGGCCAUUCUCCGAGUGACAAGAGACACGAAUCGCUGUCGGGUGAGCUUCGAAGAGGGACGACUUAACGGUACGACAAAAGACCGUGUCUGGACUAACGCGACUAUUGCUCGUCGGCAACGGGAUCACGCGGGACACGUUUUAUGCUCGUUGCAAAUUUAAUGGACGGAUGAAUUAAUCCUUGACAAAUCAAAUGUCUAAUUUAUAUCAUUCGAGUCUGUUCGUACCUAGUAAUUUUCUUGUUUUCUUCUUAUUGACGAUCAGAACAUUUCAUUUUAAGAAAGAAGAAAAAUUCGUCCUAUUCAACUUGAACGUGUAAUUAGAAUCUUAAUUGAUGUCUCACGGCACGUUUAGAUGUCGCUUUAGGAGCUUAAUAUUACGAAAGAUUUAAGAUAUUUUAAACAAUACGAUCUGAUUAACGGUAAACUUAAUAAGGGAGACUUCCUAUCAUUAUACUCGUUGUUUAAUGAGAAUUUAUUAUUCUCAUUUCGUAGUUUACCCUCGGUCAAAGCGUUCCAAGCGAUCGAAGCCGAAGAAGGUGCAACACGAUUGGAAUGAAAGACGAUUGAUUUUCGCUUUUCAAGGACAACGAUAGAAUGUUGAAAGAGUUCGCGACUCGAUCGGAUAGAUCGAUAAACAAUAAUGAAAUUAAUUUUGCUAUUAAUAUCUUUUCGAUAUUAAUCUUUCGAGAUGGCUGCUAGCGGAGGUUCACUAACCUCAGAUUCAUGGAAACCAUGUCAUCUUCUUCCUGUCCCCUAUGCGUUUUAUACGUAUACGGAGACACAUACGAUAACGCUGAAUUACAUUCAUUGUCUUUGACAUAAGAAAGAUGGAGGGAGGAGCGACAUAAGAAAAAUCGCGAGGUAGACGGCCGACAUACCUCAGCAUUCGUCGCGACCUGUAUUUCUUUCUUUCUUUCUUUCUUUCUUUCUUUCUUUCUUUCUUUCUGGACCUUAGUUAUAUGUACGAAAGGUAUUAUGAACUUUAAUUUACGAAAAUAUUCCGAGAUUUUCAUCGAUCCCUUUUCUUGACACUCGAGUCGCUAUAGAAUGAUUGCACCGAGAAGAGGAGGAAUGAAACGGUAAAGUGGAUCAACCGUAACCACUCGUUGUGACCUCUCCACAGAAGUAGGUAAGUACCUACGUAGUCGUUUACCCAGUUACGUGAUCUCCGGAUUAAGACUGUCAGAGUUGAGGUCAUCGGCACCUAUUUACGAAAAUUUCAUCAUUGGCGACGUAUUAAUCUUGCAAAAAUUUCACGCUAUUAUACUUCUUAUCAUUAUUCCAAGAGAAGAACGAAGCGAGAAAGAGAUAUGUGUUAAAUUUGUUAAAUUUCUUUGCUUAAAAGAGGAAGUUGCUCCGAUUUACGUCCGAAAGGAUUCCCAUUGAAAGUGGACGCGACUGGGUUCGCGAUGAAAGUCAGGCGAUCCUUAAAGACUAUAACACAGACUAGUACGUGCUAUCGGCCUUUCUCGUUUCACCGUGAACGCGGGCAUAAUAAAUCUCUAUAUUUCAAGGUCUAGUCUCGGUCUUUACGUUCGUAGCUUCGAACUUGUCGUUGUCCGGAAACGAAUUCUUCCUGAUUUCACUUUGCGAAGAAACUAAGUCGCACGGACGCAUUUCAUUAUCAGAUCUAUAAAGUGUGCGACGAUGCAACGAGAUAGCUUUUAUAUAAAUAUAUUCUGCUAAAUUACGAUCAAUUUCGUACACAUACAUAAAUGUAAUACUACUACGUACUAAUCGUCGUAAUUGCAAAACGAGAUAAUCUUGAAAUAAAUGAAAAAGAACGCCUAGAAUGUAGAGUUUAAUGCCAUAGUUCUACACCAGACGAAUUAGAAAUCGUCUAUUACGAUCGUGUAUGCGAACACAUAUUGCACAUUAAUUUGAGAUUUAAUCCAACGAAUAAAAACGACGUGAGUAAUCAAACAUGGGCUCUAACGUUAUUUGCGACUCAACUGUCCGGAGAUUUCUAACCGGAAGAACGAAUGAGGAAGAGUCGAGUGGUUUGUACGAAAACGUCGAUAACGAGGACGGGAGUUGCAUUUUUUAGCGACGCUCUCACGUGCUACUCCGUACGCCAACCACAUAAACUUCUUCGAGAGAUUCGUUUUUUCUGCUUGAAAAAAAGAAAAGAAAAGAAAAGAAAAGAAAAGAAAAGAAAAGGAAAAAAGAAAAAUCAAAGGAAUCUCAUUUCGUCGCGAGAAAGUUUGAGACAUUUACUUUGGUGUUUUUCCAUUAGGAAAGAACUUUACUGGAGAAAAAAAGCAUUUAUUCGUUUUUAUCAAUGAAUCAAACCAAAGAGCCCUGACAUUGAGAGCUCGAACUGCCUCGAAAUUAUUCAUGACUAUUCGUCCAGGCGGAAUUAAAACGUGGAACGAAGAGUAUUACGAAAUAUUAGAGUAUAACGGAGAGUUUUAGAUAAUCAAAGAACCUCCGUUAGUAAUCGCGUGGUCGAAAGUGAUUAUCUAUCUUUUACUUUUUUCCUCUCUUGUCUAUCGUAAUAAUAAUUUCAUUCCCGAGAUUUCUUAAUCUAGGAAACGUCUAUUGCCCGGCAACGAAAUAAAUUUGAAAGAAGAGUAAAAAUAAGACAAAUGCAAUCACCCGGUAUAUUACAGAAAACCUGAUCGUGCGACAUAUCUCGCGACGUUGCGAAAGCAAAUAUAAUUCCUUUCUCGAUACUUUUCUCUACCUUUUUUCCUCUUUUCUUUUCUUCUUUUUUCAAAUCAACUUUAAUCUACAAAUCUGAAACAUCAAAGAAACUCUUACUCUAAUGCAUAGAAUAUUGCAUAGAAAUAUUAAUUUAAUAAUAGACUAAAUGUCUAACGAACGUCUUAAGAAAUAAUUCAACUCGGAACGAUGGUGAAACUAUCGAAAAGUUAGACGGACCACGAAAAAAGUUACUUCGAUCGCGAUCGAGGUAAGGUAAAACGGUGCUCUCGAAUUUCGAGACACGCGAUCUUUGAAGCGUGGAGUACGUCUCUUUUUUUCUUUCUCCCUCUGUCUCUCUCUCGCGCGCGCGCUGACACACACACACACACACACAUACGGGGACACACAAAAAUACUAUAUAAUGUUCCGGGGAGAAAUUAAUUGGCCGGAGAAAGGCGACUGGACCGUGUGUGUGCUCGUGAAGAAAAAAGGGUCAAAUCCGUGGGGAGUCAGUGAACGGACCUGAGCGUAUGAACUUAUACACACGCAUACGCAAACAGAAAAGUAUAUACUCGAGAAGAAGUACCGGCGUCUUUAAAUAACGCCAUUACGCUUGGUCCGAUUAUGAGAGACUCGAUCAAUUUACCUUUUUUUAUUUUCUUAUCGGUCAAACUUACUUUCUACGAUUAAUUAUCACGAUCUACGAUAUGUCAUUUUCUCGGUCAAUGUCAUGUGAAAGCUUGUCUACGUAGCUUGUGACGUAAAAUAAACUACGAUAAUUAAUCGGUUUAAUAAUUUCAAUUAAUUCUCUAAGGUUAAGGAUUGAUCGAACGCGACUGAAGAUAAUGAAUAGGAGAAAGAAUGCGCCGAAUAAAAGUUACGAAACAUUUUUUCUUCGAACAAAGAAAUUAUUUCGAUACUAACAUUUAAUGAUAUAUCUGAAAUGUAUCGAAGUGUAGGUGAGUUUUACGAAUGUGUGAAUGCACGGCGCUUUCACUAUUCGCAAAAUAACGUCAAGGCGGGUAUGCAUUCACACGUUCCUUCGUCGGAUCCUCUCCGUUGCAAUAAAAGGACGGCCUAGACCGCGUUUAACAUUUUUACCGCUAAUCUGGACUUUAAACUUUUAACAUUCUUGCCCCCAAAGAUUUAUAUAUUAAAAGGAUAUGCCAUUAAUACUAUCGCAGAUUAUCCACGUAUAAUCUUUUGUACGUAUCUACGAUAAAAUCUGUUCAGGAAUUAUCCUAAUUAACGAUAGAUAAAACUAAAGAUUUUCUCAAGUUAUAUCACGUACACAUAUACGAUGUCGUAGAAGAAGAAAAGUGGCUUACCGAGAAAGCUGAUCCAUCGAAGUAUCCAAAGGACCAAUAAUAAUGUCUUGCCGAUCAUCGCACGGAUCCUGGAUCAGCGCGGUAGUGACGAUAGAUCGUGUACAUCAAAGUACCAUUGUCGAUGGUGAUCGAUAACCGAGCAAAUCGAGAUCUUCGAGAAGGAAUAACAACGAUACGUCGUCGCGUCCUUCAGGAUUCUUUCAUUCUUCGUCGAUAUACGGACAAAUACAAAUCGUAAAGUCGAUCUAAACGAAUUUAAUGUCGUAUAAUGCAAAUUUCAAGUCAAUGACGUUUUCUUUCGAGAAAAAUCGCAAGAUUUCUUUCGAGGUUAAAAAAUCAACGAUACGAGGAGCACCGCCUCGAGGAAAAGGAGAAGACGGAAGAGCAGGAGGAGGAGGAGGAGGAGGAGGAGGAGGAGGAGGAAGAAGAAGAAGAAGAAGAAAAAAUCGAUCGACGAACGUCUGCUUUCUCUUUCGAAAGAAGGAGAGUACGCACGCACGCACGCACGCACGCACGCGCUUCCUUAGCUCGAGACUAACUCAAAACAUUUCCGAGAAAUCUUCUCCUCUUGAUCUUCUCGAUUUCGAUCUUUUCACUUCCUAGAUAACGAAUAUUUCUCGUCGAUCUUAUAUAUGUCUAUGUAUACGUAUAUAAAAGAGGAAGAAAGUGUUUUUUUAUCAAAUGGCUAUCGUCGUCAUCGUAUAUCGAUAAAAUUCCAUUUGGACACUUUCUUCUCUUUCACUCGAUCCUCCUCGAUCGAAUUUCGCGUUCUCCAAAAUGGCUGCCUACGCGUCUGGGAAAACUUUUUCCUUUUGAUUCUCGUAUCUAUCGAGAUCUUUCUUUUUCUUUUCUUUCUUUUUUUUUUCUCUUUUUUUCUUUUUUUUUUUUUUUUUUUCCUUUUCUUUUUUGUAGAUAAGAGAAAAAGAGAAAGAUCGUAGACGAUGACGAACGCGAGUUCUUUCGAUGAACGCAAAGAGAGAGUCGAGGCCUGCAGGAACACGACUCGUUGCUGCCUCGUGGCCUACUAUAACAGAACUGACUCCCACCGAGAAGUUACACCGUCUCUUUACCUGCCAUAAGCGAAUGGCCUCAGCUACUAUGAUUUCCUCUCUACACCUAGUCUAUCGAUAAUGCCAUCACAAUCCAUUAGAGAUGAUCUUUCGUCACAAUGCAUUUCUUUUCUCUUCGUCUUUCUCUUCUUCCUUUUCUACGUCAUUUUCUUGUCCAAGUAUAAUCGAAUUCGAAAGAAAUUUUCUUUUCUUUUCUAUUUCCAAAAUUACAAUAACAAUCUUUUAGAAGAGUAAGAACACUUUCUCUUGGCGAUUUUUAUGACGAAUAAUCAUUAAUCUCAUUGUUUCGAUUAUCACGAUUAUAAUUUUCUUAAAUCUUAUAGAGGAAUAAGCGAUCAUCGGUAAAGUCAAUUUCUACUGGCAAUGUUAAUCGAUCAUUUUGCUUUUCGACGAUGGAACGAAAUAGAUUAGCGUUUGAUUUGCCAAGCUCGAAUACUAAUUACAUUUUGGCACCAUAUAGGUGCUUCGAAUAUUUCAUUGCAUUGCCUAACUAAGACCGCAGAAUUUUCUCGAGUUGUCGCAAUAGAAAAGUUUCACCGUCAUCGAAAGUGCUUGCCAUUGUGAUGUAUAGCGCAUUACCAAAUAUUAUAUCACAAGGAACGAUGCUAAUCGAUUUCUCAAAUUCUACUUAAUCAUCCAACAAAAUUCUUCGAGCGAUUACUUUUAAAUCGUAAAAAUAAAAAAUAUAACACUUUUAUUUCUGUCUUUCUUUCCAUUAGAAAACAAAGUAAAAAAUUAAGAGCUCCGAUAUUUAAUAUACAUAAAAUCCCAUAAAUCACGACAGGGCAAACCUUUAUCUAACCGCAGAAACUUGGAAAAUACAAAGAUGCCUAUUGCAUUAUAUCGAAAAUUUGUGAAAUCGACCGAGAUAAAUCGUAUGUAAUUACGUAAUAUACAUCCAGAGGACGUGCCAGUAGUCAAUUAUUUCGAUAGUAUCAUUUUUCAAUUUUAAAUUCGACAUAUGCGUAAUAAAAACUACAAGUUUUUUUCUGGAAAGAAGAGAAAAGAAAAAAAAGGAGCGUCUUAAAAAAAUCAAUUACCUCAUUAUAAUCCUUUAUAUGCUUUCUUAUACGCGAACAAAUCUUUACUUCCCUCCUUGAAAGUGCAAGGUUCGGCUUAUCGUCUAUUAAUGACACCUACAUUAGACUCUUACUUUCGCUUUUCCAUAUUACGACGAGCUCUCAAGUAUUAUCAUAGCGCUUACUCGAAAGUUUAUUUUCUGUUUUGUACGUACGACAAUUAUUUGUGGUUAGCGCGGACUCGGAGCACGUAAGAGAGAGAGAGAGAGAGAGAGAGAGAGAGAGAGGAAGAUGACGGACACGUAAAAUGGAGAAAGUUUUCAAUCUUUGUUUGGCUAUCUCUUAAAAGAAAGAAAGAAAGAAAGAAAUGAAUAAAUAAAUAAACGCAUCAAUUUUAUAAACGAAAAAUACUCCCAAGAUUUGUGGCUCGAUGUGUAUAGCUCUAUUUAUAAAAUAUAAAAUAACACGACUUAUCCCUCUGGUGGAGCGCGUCAUCGAUCUUUUUGAAUUUAUUUAUUCGUUCAUUCGAUAAUAAUGAGCAAUAUAAAAGUGUUCAUUAUGCAACAAAAAAUAAAAUAUGCUCGUGGGUCAAUGAGAUAUCGGAUAUUAGAUAACGGAAUUUUUAAUUAUCACGACAAUUGCAACAUGUAAUUUCAUACUUGGUCAUAUUUUACAUAAUAUUAUUGAAUUAUCUCUACAUUUUAUUUACUCGAUAUCUACUUCGUAAAUAUAAUUCGUGCUAUUUGAAUUGUUAUAUCUAUCUGCAAGGUCAUCUGGUAGAUUGUGUAUGAAAAAAAAAAAAGAAAAAAAAACAGCAUUGCAAUUACAAUAAAUAGCGCGACAUUCGACGUAAUAUAAAUAUGAAAAAGGAAGUGAAUCAUUAAAUACUCUUCUUGUAUGUUAUUGUGCUUUACAUCAAUUCUUUUUUUCAUUUUAUUAAUAUGUAAAAACCUUUAAAUACAACUAUAAUUUUUUUUUUUUUUUUUUACUUUUUUAAUUAUCAUUUCUUCAUUCUUUUUAUAUAUUUCAUUUCAUCAAAAUCAUCUUCUUGCUCCUCAACUAGAACAAUCUUAGUCUUUGACCUGCGACUAUUAAUCUUAAUCCUCUGUUGUUCUUCUGAAAGUUCUGAGAUGUUGAGUGGAAGGACAAUUAUUUUUCUUGGUUCAUUAUAUUCAAUAUUUAUGCUACUUCCAUCAGGGAGAACGAGAAUCGUAGGAUAUGUAUUUACAUAAACAUUCUGGUGUUUCUUUGUUAUAGCCGCUGUCCAACAAUUCAAGUUUCUAGCCAGAAUUGGUUUAAACCGUGAGAUACGCAGAAGUAAGGAUGUAUUCAUUCUGAAAUAUGAGAAAACAUUUCAGGAACUCAUUAUGAGUUUUACAACAUAACGUAAAAACAUUGAAAAAAUACACAAUGAGAUAAAUGUAUGAUAACUUUAUAGCAUUAUAUUUAGAAGAGGUUAUGUGCGCUAAGAAUUGGAUUAUUUAAAUCAAUAGGAAAGAUAUAAGAAAAUUUAUAUAUUAUUGGCGUAUAUUUUGGGUAACGAACGGAAAAUCAAUUUAUAAACAUUAUAUUACGUGUAAGUUUACCUGUCAUUCAAAUAGACGAAAAUUCGGCAAUCGAUAGCACGUACUAUGUAGCGCACAAGGCGAUCACGUGAUCCCUCCGUUCAACGAAUCCGUGUUGAUAAAGUCUGUCGACAUUCGUUCGAGAUAUCGACAUUUAAAAAAUAUAAUAUCGCAACUUUAGCACAGAUAUUUCUUGCAUGGUAUGCGUGUUUCUCCGUGUUCAUUGCAAUUAUAAAACAAUAAUGUACAUUUCCUCUCAAAAUGAAUUUCUUUUUUUUUUUUUUUUUUUUUUUUUUUUUUUUUUUUUUUUUUUUUUGUGUU